UGGCGAACGGGUGAGUAACGCGUGAGGAACCUGCCUCAAAGAGGGGGACAACAGUCGGAAACGACUGCUAAUACCGCAUAAGCCCACGGGUCGGCAUCGACCUGAGGGAAAAGGAGCAAUCCGCUUUGGGAUGGCCUCGCGUCCGAUUAGCUAGUUGGUGAGGUAACGGCCCACCAAGGCGACGAUCGGUAGCCGGACUGAGAGGUUGAACGGCCACAUUGGGACUGAGACACGGCCCAG
rnacentral:rRNA from 1 species